GUGAGGUCCUCGGUGUAACCAGGUCCUCUGUGAGGUCCUCGGUGUAGCCAGGUCCUCUGUGAGGUCCUCGGUGUAACCAGGUCCUCUGUGAGGUCCUCGGUGUAGCCAGGUCCUCUGUGAGGUCCUCGGUGUAGCCAGGUCCACAUCCCACUUCUCACUGCUUGAUGAA